rnacentral:rRNA from 1 species
AAAGGGGGGGCAAUACCGAAUAGUAUCCGGUUCCGUGAAGGGGACCGGGGAAAAGGAGGCCUCUGGAACAAGCUUCCGCUCCUGGAUGAGCCCAUGGCCCAUCAGCUAGUUGGCAGGGUAAAGGCCUACCAAGGCGACGACGGGUAGCUGGUCUGAGAGGACAACCAGCCACACUGGCACUGAGACACGGGCCAGACUCCUACGGGAGGCAGCAGUGAGGAAUAUUGCGCAAUGGGGGCAACCCUGACGCAGCAACGCCGCGUGUGGGAAGAAGGCUUUCGGGUUGUAAACCACUUUUGCCCGGGACGAAAAGGGACCCAAUAACACGGGGUUCCGAUGACGGUACCGGGAGAAUAAGCCACGGCUAACUCUGUGCCAGCAGCCGCGGUAAGACAGAGGUGGCAAGCGUUGUUCGGAGUUACUGGGCGUAAAGAGUCUGUAGGUGGUUUGUCAAGUCUUUGGUGAAAGGCCGUGGCUUAACCAUGGGAAUGCCAAAGAGACUGGCAGGCUGGAGGCUGGGAGAGGGAAGCGGAAUUUCUGGUGUAGCGGUGAAAUGCGUAGAUAUCAGAAGGAAGGCCGGUGGCGAAGGCGGCUUCCUGGAACAGUCCUGACACUGAGAGACGAAAGCGUGGGGAGCAAACAGGAUUAGAUACUCUGGUAGUCCACGCCCUAAACGAUGGGUACUAAGUGUGGGAGGGUUAAACCUCCCGUGCCGCAGCCAACGCAGUAAGUACCCCGCCUGGGGGAGUACGGCCGCAAGGUUGAAACUCAAAGGAAUUGACGG